UUGUAUGGAUGAGCAAAGAAAGUAGUUUCUUGAGAUGGAAACUACCCCUGGUGAAGAUGCUAUGAA
rnacentral:pre_miRNA from 3 species